rnacentral:rRNA from 1 species
GACGAACCAUGCAAACGUUAUUCGGAUUCACUGGGCUUAAAGCGUGCGUAGGCGGUCUUGUUAGUCAGGUGUGAAAGCCCUCAGCCCAACUGAGGAAUUGCGCUUGAUACUGCAUGACUAGAGAAUGAUAGAGGUGGGUGGAACUGAUGGUGGAGCGGUGAAAUGCGUUGAUAUCAUCAGGAACACCAGUGGCGAAGGCGACCCACUGGGUCAUUUCUGACGCUGAGGUACGAAAGCUAGGGUAGCGAACGGG